rnacentral:misc_RNA from 1 species
GUUGAUAGAUACGUUGGCAAGGUAUCUCACCAUAGCUUAGUAUCGAAUGACUCAGACAUUCCAAAAAUGAGUUGCGUGAUAAAGAAUAGCGAGACUCCAUUUGAGAUACAGUGCCUGUUUCCUGAGGCUGCUGCUGAUAAAAAAGAUUUUUCAGUCUACUUUUAUUCUUUCAUUGGAAGUCAAGACCUAAUGAUCACCUGCACGUACCUCGAAACCUAUUCCUGUAUCAUCAACGAAGAAGGCUUCAUCGUCAGGGCACAUCCUAGUAUGGCUAACAUCACAGUUCCUGACUCCAUCGCCACAAGGAACGGAACUUUUGCUUGUCAGAGAGGAGACCAGGUUGUGACAUGCCACUCUCUGUGUGGAUGUUCUUUCUUCCAAGAACAAAGAAGCUGCAACCGACCUUCUUAAUAAAAAUGACAAAAUCUGGGCACAACAGAUCCGGAAGGAAGAUCCGGAAAACCCUCCCGAAAAAAACACACCAAAAGCGAGGAACAAGGUCUGACCGCAAAUGAACAUCAAGUGAAUGUUGCCAAGAGGAUGAAACGUAUACAACUAGAAAACCAGUGACAUGGGUUGGGGCUCGGACAAGAAAAUAAAAUGUGUGUACCUCGUCAGACAGAGACCAGAAACGUCUUUAAUGUUACUUGCCACACACACACAAAUUCCUUUAGGUAUAUAAUGCUACUCCUGUUAAAGUUCUUUUCAACAUCUUUUUUUUUUUUACUAUAUCAUCGAUUUUAUGAACUCAAAGUGUGAACUGUGAACACGAAAUUGUAAACUGUGAAAUAAGAUAUACCGCGCCGAAUGCAAAUCUGUCUGUUGUACCCGCUGUCCUCGAUGAUAAGGCUACUAUAGUUAUUCUAGCGACUCUAUUCACCCUUUAAUUUGUGUUUAUACAUCUUGAUAUAUAUAUAGAGAGGAACACAUUUGUUUACAAAAGCUUUUUAGUUUAUGACAAUCUGAAAAGAAAACCCUGACAGCCAGGUUUUACAAGUUUAUCGACAUCAUUUACAUUUUUGCCUGGUGAUGCAAGUAUGGUGGUUUGGGGAAGAACAUUGGUUAAAAAUGAACAAGUUCACUAGCUUUUGUAGAAUAUAUUUGACACCGUGUGGAAUUUUUCUUUAGCCUUUGAUUAUUUGUUCAUUGUAUCUAAAUUGUUUAUUCAUAUUCUCAGACUUUGUGUCCAUCGCUUGAUAUUUCAUAUUAUGUAAAUUGUUUGUACACAUCAAAGGCGCACACAAAGAUGACAUGACUGUAACAAAACAAAUCAUAUAUUUCUGUUUAAAGAUUUGUCGUGUUCCAAACUGAGAAGUUAUUGGCCCACCACAUCCUUAACAGAAAGAUCCGCGUAUGCUGCACUCACAAACACAUCCAAACACUUUCAUUUCUCUCUUCUUUACGCACGCACAGAUCACUAUCAUUAUUUAACAUAAGUUCCACAUACUGCUAUAUCUAUAUCAUGCUAAACUCACCAAAUUUUAUAUCCACAUUAUUAAAUAUGUUUGCUGUUUCACCCAGUUUAUGAAUGGUACAUGUAGAAAAGUAAAUAAAUUAGUAUUUAGCAACAACAUUGUUCCCAAUGCUUUUGUUAUCUUUAUUUCAAAUUAUUACUUUUGAUACAAUUUUAUAAUUUAGUUGUAGCAUCGAAAUGUUUGCUGCAAGAUAAAUGCUUUCAUUAAUCAAUCUGAUUUUAUUACCUGUUGGUUUCGAUUUUCUUACUUCAUGUGUGGUUUAUACUUGAUUAGGAAGCUAUUGGAAUACGAAUGUAGUAGAGCUAGCGAGAUAAUGUGUCCAUAAAAAUAAAUUUAAGAAAUCAAAA